rnacentral:lncRNA from 1 species
UUGAGCAGCUUGUAGAAGUUUAGUCAAAAAGACCAAAGCCCAUGUCAUCAUCAGACUCCUCAGAUUCUUCUUUCUUUGCUUCCACGUUUUCCUCCUUGGCUGGGGCAGCCGUGGUGGAAGGAGCAGGACCUCCUGCUGGUGCAGCGCCAGCUGCUGGGUUGGGUCCACCAGCUACUACAAUGCAGAUGAGGCUCCCAAUGUUCACGUUGGCUAGGGCCUUUGCAAACAAACCCGGCCAGAAAGGUUCAACAUUCACACCCGCUGUUUUAAUGAGGGCAUUGAUCUUAUCCUCCAUGACGAUCACCUCGUGGUCGUGCAGGAGGAGGGCUGAGGCCAUGCAGGUGAGCUCCAAGACAUAGGCCAUCGGGAGGGCCAGGGCUGAGCGGGCGCUGCCGGGUGUGGUGCUGGUCACCUGAUGAAGUGAGGGCCUCACCCCAACGCGGCCUUAACUUCCUCGGAAGGACCGAGCACCUUGGCGGCUCCUGAGGAAAGCUCUGGGGAUAUUUUUAAAGCAUAUUCUAAAGGUAUAUUCUAGUCCUUUGGCUAGAAAUUAGAUUUGGAAGUUUAAGAUCGAGGACCCAAACAAACUAGCCCAUGGUGGUCAAUGAGGCCAAACACCUUUAGGUUUAUAUAAUAUAACCCUCUGGUUUAUGCAUUUUGAUGUUCAGAAAGGUUCUUUGUACCCUCAGGACAUUCUGAUGACCCAGGGAAUCUUGCUCAUAUGUAGGAGGUUUUGAGAACUUAAAUCCAGCAAACUAUACUUUUUUUCUUUUUAACAAUAGAAAAGGAGUACAGAUUCUUAACUGAUCACAAAUAAAAUUAAGAAAUGAGAUUUUAAGUUGAUUUUAAAUUGAUCUAGUGGCAAGACUAUUAAUAAAUUCUCUCUCCUUUCCUAUCUCUUCUGCUCCCUCUGCUAAAUUAGCUCCAGUCACAAUUAGCCAUUGCUAUCUGGGUCCACAUUCACCAGAGAUUUUUUACUCCCUGAGAGUAGAGAGAGGUAAGGAUUAAGGUAAUUUCUCUUUCCAGAAUGAUGCAAUGAACAAGCCUGCCUUGGAGUCCAAUAAACUUGGGUUUAUAACCUGCUCUGACACUUGUUGGUAGUUUAACUUGGAGUAACUUAGUCUCAGUUUCUUUAUCUGUACAGUGGGAGCAAUAAAGCUGGCUCCCAUCUCCAAGAUUCUAAUUCUUUUGUUGGCUGCAGAUCCUUGGAAUUUUGUUAACAAUUGUUUGUUAUGAGGAUCAGAUGUAUGCAAAGUCCCAGAACAGUGCCUGGUACUAAGUCAGUGUUCAUUAAAUGUUCCUUUCCCUUCUCCUUUGAUGCUCUCUUCCCUAAUACCUUCCAUUCAUUUCCAUUCCAGAUCUCUGAUCAUGUUUUAUACAGGAAAUAUGUACAUAAAAAUUCUUGAUUUUAAAUGUGUAAACAUAUUCUAUGUACAUAUUCACUCAUUUGUUCAACAAAUAAUUACUGGGAAUCCAUUUGUGCCAGGCACUGUGAUAAACCAGUUAUACAAGUUCCCUGUUCUCAUAGAGCUCAUUCUCUAGUAGGGGGGUAUUCCCUGGGAUGAGAUAGGAAGCCACAGGUAUGGAGAAAAAGGACCAGAUGGACCAUUCAGCAAAGGCUUCUCUGGAAAGGACAGCUCUGAGGCCCAGAGGAUGAAGCAGAGCCAGCCACCAACUAGAGCACCCCAGGCAGAGGGCAUAGCAAGUGCAAAGCCCCGAGGGGGCGGGGACAGCUUGGUGCUUUUGAGAAACAGAAAGUGUCUGGUUCCAGGAGGGGUGGAAAUGAGAGGGGGAACAGCAGGGCACUGUUGGUCAUGGUGAGGUAUUGGGAUUGACAUGGGACACACUGGAGAUGCUGAAGCAGGGAAGGAAUGGGAUCUGAUUUAGGUUUAUUUAUUUAUUUUUUAAAAAUCUGAUUUAUUUAUUCAUGAGAGAGGCAGUGAGAGAGGCAUAGACACAGGCAGAGGGAGAAGCAGGCUCCCUGCAGGGAGCCUGAUGCGGGACUCUAUCCUGGGACCCCGGGAUCAUACACUGAGCCAAAGGCAAACAUUCAACCAUUGAGUCACCCAGGCAUCCCUGAUUUAGGUUUAAAAAGCACCACUCUGGCUGCUGUGCCUCAGAGUGAAUUACAGAAGGCCAGGAUGGAAGCAAGUCCACAUGACUACAUACACAUGAUACCAGGCAUGUGGACUCCUAGAGUUAGAAAGGAGGGCAGAGCGGCUCCAGCCCAGAGGUAUGGGAAUUCCUGGGGGUGAGGGCAGUCACCAGCCUGGGGAACUCUGGUCCUCACCCCCACUGGCACAUUACAAUCACCUGGAGGCAUGGUUAAAAUUCCAAGGAUCCACAGCCACUGCCAUGGGCCAAGAGAAUCAGAAUCUCAUAGAUGGGGGCUAGGCUUAUAGGAUUUUCUUUACAAAACUUCCUAGGAUAUUUUACACGCAACCAGAGGUGAGAAUCACUGGGUCAG